AACACUGUAUAUAGUUCAUAGUUGAAUCUAUGAAUCAUAUUCAGUCUACAACACUAUUCAUAGUUGAAUCUAUGAAUCAUAUUCAGUCUACAACACUGUUCAUAGUUGAAUCUAUGAAUCAUAUUCAGUCUACAACUCUGUAUGUAGUUGAAUCUAUGAAUCGUAUUCAGUCUACAGCACUGUAUAUAGUUCAUAGUUGAAUCUAUGAAUCGUAUUCAGUCUACAACACUGUAUGUAGUUGAAUCUAUGAAUCAUAUUCAGUCUACAGCAGCAGUUUAAAUCAAGUCUAAUGUUAUUGGUCACAUACACGUGUUUAGCAGAUGUUAUUGCAGGUGCAGCGAAAUGCUUGUCAACACACCCCAGUUCUUUGUUUUUAAACCGUUUCAGUUGUUUGUGUUGUUUUGGUUGGUCGUCAUGGGUUACUGCUAGCCAGCCCAGUGAAGUGAAUGUUACAGACCAGACUGAGACACGUCUACUACACACACACACACACACACACACACACACACACACACACACACACACACACACACACACACACACACACACUCUCUCUCUGUGUGGUUAUAGUACAUCAUCAGACCAGACUGAGACAUGUCUACUAGCUACUACACACACACACAGACACACACACACACACUCUCUGUGUGGUUAUAGUACAUCAUCAGACCAGACUGAGACACGUCUACUACACACACACACACACACUCUGUGUGGUUAUAGUACAUCAUCAGACCAGACUGAGACAUGUCAACUAGCUACUACACACACACACACACGGAACAUCUCAGUAACAGACAUCCUCUGACGCAGCAGGUAACAGAAGUUCUGCUUCAUUCUCCGGAAAUGUUCCUGAGAUUUUGGACUGCGCCUCGUCUGUCUCCCAAAUGGCACCUUAACGUUGUGCACUAUGUAGGGAAUAGGGUGCUAUUUGGGAGGUAUGUUUUAAGUUCCACUUGUUAUGCCACAUGUUCUUAGACAAUUGCACUCACAUCUGGGGGGGGGGGGGUAAUGAAAACAUUCUAUUGCACUCACAUCUGGGGGGGGGGGGUAAUGAAAACAUUCUGUUCAGUGUUGAUGUGUAUCGACAGGAGAAGACAGAGACUAUGGAAGAGAGAGAGAGAGACGUCCUCUGAACUUCCUACACUACGGUACGCGCUGAGAGAGUGUCCAAUGUGUUGACCGUCUGAGCUUUACUCAUAUUCACUAUUAUUUUCACUGAGAGAAAAGAAAAAGCAUUUAAAACAUUCGUCAUCGUUCUGCUACGGAGACGUUCUACAUGACUUUGUUUUGAACAACGGAAGGCCCCGUCAAUAAAGCAUGUUGUUUUUAACAAAAAAUGGAA